rnacentral:rRNA from 1 species
AACGAACGCUGGCGGCGUGCUUAAUACAUGCAAGUCGAGCGAGAAAGUUCCCUUCGGGGGAUGAGUACAGCGGCGAACGGGUGCGUAACACGUGGGCAAUCUGCCCUCAAGUUCGGGACAAGCCACCGAAAGGGGGUCUAAUACCGGAUGUGACCGUCCUGAGGCAUCUUGGGACGAUCAAAGGUAGCCACUAAACUAUGCUAUCGCUUGAGGAUGAGCCCGCGGCCCAUAGCUUGUUGGCGGGGUAACGGCCCACCAAGGCUGCGAUGGGUAGCCGGCCUGAGAGGGUGAUCGGCCACACUGGGACUGAGAUACGGCCCAGACUCCUACGGGAGGCAGCAGUAGGGAAUAUUGCGCAAUGGACGAAAGUCUGACGCAGCAACGCCGCGUGAGCGAUGAAGGUCUUCGGAUCGUAAAGCUCUGUCAGCGGGGACGAACCGUCUCGUGUCGAAUAGGCACGAGGCCUGACGGUACCCGCAGAGGAAGCACCGGCCAAC